GCAAGUCGAGGGGUAACAUUGUAGCUUGCUACAGAUGACGACCGGCGCACGGGUGCGUAACGCGUAUGCAACCUACCUUAUACUGGAGAAUAGCCCAGAGAAAUUUGGAUUAAUACUCCAUAGUAUUAUUAAGUGGCAUCACUUGAUACUUAAAGUUCCGGCGGUAUAAGAUGGGCAUGCGUGAUAUUAGUUAGUUGGUGAGGUAACGGCUCACCAAGACGACGAUAUCUAGGGGUUCUGAGAGGAAGAUC
rnacentral:rRNA from 1 species